rnacentral:rRNA from 1 species
CAGUAGCCGCGGGAAUACGUAGGUGGCAAGCGUUGUCCGGAAUUAUUGGGCGUAAAGGGCUCGCAGGCGGUUUCUUAAGUCUGAUGUGAAAGCCCCCGGCUCAACCGGGGAGGGUCAUUGGAAACUGGGAAACUUGAGUGCAGAAGAGGAGAGUGGAAUUCCACGUGUAGCGGUGAAAUGCGUAAAGACGUGGAGGAACACCAGUGGCGAAGGCGACUCUCUGGUCUGUAACUGACGCUGAGGAGCGAAAGCGUGGGGAGCGAACAGGAUUAGAUACCCCCGUAGUCCCUGUCUCUUAUAC